UACGUAGGGGGCAAGCGUUGUCCGGAAUCAUUGGGCGUAAAGAGCGUGUAGGCGGCCAGAUAAGUCCGCUGUGAAAUCUCGAGGCUCAACUUCGAGCUGUCGGUGGAAACUGUCUGGCUAGAGUCCGGAAGAGGAGAAUGGAAUUCCUGGUGUAGCGGUGAAAUGCGCAGAUAUCAGGAAGAACACCCGUGGCGAAGGUGGUUCUCUGGGACGGUACUGACGCUGAGACGCGAAAGCGUGGGGAGCGAACAGG
rnacentral:rRNA from 1 species